rnacentral:rRNA from 1 species
CGGGAAAAGCUCAAAUUUAAAAUCUGGCAGUCUUUGGCUGUCCGAGUUGUAAUCUAGAGAAGCAUUAUCCGCGCUGGACCGUGUACAAGUCUCCUGGAAUGGAGCGUCACAGAGGGUGAGAAUCCCGU